rnacentral:rRNA from 1 species
GAUGAACGCUAGCGGCAGGCCUAACACAUGCAAGUCGAGGGGUAGAGUUCUUCGGGACUUGAGACCGGCGCACGGGUGCGUAACGCGUAUGCAAUCUACCUUAUACAGGGGAAUAGCCCAGAGAAAUUUGGAUUAAUGCCCCAUAGUGUUAUCGAAUCGCAUGGUUUGAUAACUAAAGUUCCAACGGUAUAAGAUGAGCAUGCGUCCCAUUAGUUAGUUGGUAAGGUAACGGCUUACCAAGACAAUGAUGGGUAGGGGUCCUGAGAGGGAGAUCCCCCACACUGGUACUGAGACACGGACCAGACUCCUACGGGAGGCAGCAGUGAGGAAUAUUGGUCAAUGGGCGGCAAGCCUGAACCAGCCAUGCCGCGUGCAGGAAGACGGUCCUAUGGAUUGUAAACUGCUUUUUAUACAGGAAGAAACCCUUUCACGUGUGGAAGAUUGACGGUACUGUAAGAAUAAGGAUCGGCUAACUCCGUG